GAUGAACGCUGGCGGCGUGCCUAACACAUGCAAGUCGAACGGAAGGGCCCUGCGCUUGUGGUGUGCUCGUUUGCCGAACGGGUGAGUAUCACGCGUGUAUCCUGCCCUUGUAUUUGGGAUAACUUCACGAAACUGGGGCUAAUAUCGGAUAGGAUCUCCUGCAGCACGGUGGGCGCAGGAAAGUUUCGGCGGUUGGGGAUGGACUCGCGGCUUACCGGCUUGUUGGUGGGGUAGUGGAUUACCAAGUCUUUGAAGGGUAGGCGGCCUGGGAGGGUGAACGGCCACAUUAGUACUAAGGUAGGCCGCAGACUCCAACGUGAGGCAGCAGUCGGAAAUAUUGCACAGUGAGCGGGAGCCUGAUACGGCGACGCCGCGUGCGGAAUGCCCGCCUUCUGGUUAAGAACCGCUGUCGCCUGAGACGAGGCGUGAGUGACGGUAAUGAAUAAAGAAGCACCGGCUAACUACGUG
rnacentral:rRNA from 1 species